rnacentral:tRNA from 1 species
GAGGGUAUAGCUCAGUGGUAGAGCACAUGCUUAGCAUGCACGAGGUCUUGGGUUCACCUCUAGUGCCUCUA